GAUGAAGAACGCAGCGAAAUGCGAUAAGUAAUGUGAAUUGCAGAGUUCAGUGAAUCAUCGAAUCUUUGAACGCACAUUGCGCCCGCCAGUAUUCUGGCGGGCAUGCCUGUCUGAGCGUCAUUUCAACCCUCAUGCCCCUAGGGCGUGGUGUUGGGGAUCGGCCAAAGCCCGCGAGGGACGGCCGGCCCCUAAAUCUAGUGGCGGACCCGUCGUGGCCUCCUCUGCGAAGUAGUGAUAUUCCGCAUCGGAGAGCGAUGAGCCCCUGCCGUUAAACCCCCAACUUUCCAAGGUUGACCUCAGAUCAGGUAGGAAUACCCGCUGAACUUAAGCAUAUCAAUAAGCGGAGGA
rnacentral:misc_RNA from 1 species